UACGGAGGAUGCAAGCGUUAUCCGGAUUUAUUGGGUUUAAAGGGUGCGUAGGCGGGAAAAUAAGUCAGUGGUGAAAUCCUGCAGCUUAACUGUAGAACUGCCAUUGAUACUGUUUUUCUUGAGUACAUUUGAAGUGGGCGGAAUGUGUUGUGUAGCGGUGAAAUGCAUAGAUAUGACACAGAACACCGAUUGCGAAAGCAGCUCACUAAACUGUCACUGACGCUGAGGCACGAAAGCGUGGGUAGCAAACAGG
rnacentral:rRNA from 1 species